GUCAGGGACAGCCUAGGGAAAGAUAUGCGGGGGCAAGAGGGGCAGGGAGGUGGCCAAGAGGAUAGGAAUUUCCACAGAGAGGAAUUGGGCAAUCAAGAUGCGGGACUGAGAAUCAGGCAAAAAGAAUGAAAACACGAGGGGGUUUUCAGAAACAAAUACAACCUCUAUAGGGGUUAAGAGCUAUGGUUGCUAACCAAAAGGUAGACAGCUUGGAUCCACCAGCCACUCCUUGGAAACUCUAUGGGGCAGUUCUACUCUGUCCCAUAGGGUCAUUGUAGACUGGACUGCAAUGGGUUUGUUUGUUUUUGUGUGUUUAUUGAGCAUGGAGGGGAAUGAAAGGAGAAAGGAGCAAAGAGAGGGAGGAAGCGAAAACGUGAAACAGAAUUUGAAACUUGUCAGUAAGAGAUCUACCUUUGUACAACUCGAGGACCCACCCAGGAUUUUAAAGACGGCCAGGCGUUUAUAAAUCUUCUGACCCAACUGCCUCGUUUUACAGAAGAGGAAACUGCAGCUAAGAAGGGUUAGAUACAGGUGACCAGCAGGAGACUGAAGAGGCUUCAGGAGCAGCGGACCAGGGUCCUGCUCUCCUCCAGGGUUAUCAUGAAGGAGCCCUGGUGGCACAAAAGGUUGUCAGCUGGAACUCACCCAGGCGUCACAUGGGAGAAAGACCUGGAGGUCUGCUCCCAUAAAGAUGACAGCCAGAAAACCCUAUGAGGCAGUUCUACUCUGUCACAUGGGAUUGCUGUGAGUCGGAAUUGACUCCGUGGCUCCUAACAGCAACAACAGAGUUAUUGUGAACAUUAAGUGCGUCGAUAACACAUAAAGUGCUCAGAACAGAGGCUGCUGGCACCUAAGCUAAAAUGAGAGAGAAGCAAGCAGAGAGAUGGGAGCUAAUGCCACCAAAAAGAAGAGCCAGCAGCAAGUGCAUCUUUUGGGCCUGGGUUCCUGUGCUGAGAAGCUCAUAGACCAGGGCAAGAUUGAGGACAAGGACCUUCCUCCAGGGCUGACAGAGAAAGAAAGCCUUUCCCUGGAGUUGGCACCCUGAAUUGAGACUUCUAGCCUCCUAGACUAUGAGGGAAUAAAUUUCUCUUUGUUAAAGUCAUCAACUUGUGGUAUUUCUGUUAUAACAGCACUAGAUAACUAAGACAGAUACCAAUAUCAAUAAUGCAUUGUAUAGAUAGCUAGCUGUGGCCAACACUGGCAGUUCUCCACACAAAUCUGUACAGGGCUUUCUGAGCAGUUAGACUACAUUUCCCAGCCUC